CAGCAGCCGCGGUAAUACGUAGGGUGCAAGCGUUGUCCGGAAUUAUUGGGCGUAAAGAGCUCGUAGGCGGUUUGUCGCGUCUGCUGUGAAAUCCCGAGGCUCAACCUCGGGCUUGCAGUGGGUACGGGCAGACUAGAGUGCGGUAGGGGAGAUUGGAAUUCCUGGUGUAGCGGUGGAAUGCGCAGAUAUCAGGAGGAACACCGAUGGCGAAGGCAGAUCUCUGGGCCGUAACUGACGCUGAGGAGCGAAAGCGUGGGGAGCGAACAGGAUUAGAUACCCCGGUAGUCCCUGUCUCUUAUAC
rnacentral:rRNA from 1 species